UACGAAGGGUGCAAGCGUUACUCGGAAUUACUGGGCGUAAAGCGUGCGCAGGCGGUUUUGUAAGCCAGAUGUGAAAGCCCCGGGCUUAACCUGGGAAUGGCAUUUGGGACUGCAAGGCUUGAGUGCGGCAGAGGAGACUGGAAUUCCUGGUGUAGCAGUGAAAUGCGUAGAUAUCAGGAGGAAUACCGAUGGCGAAGGCAGGUCUCUGGGCUGACACUGACGCUCAUGCACGAAAGCUAGGGGAGCAAACAGG
rnacentral:rRNA from 1 species